rnacentral:rRNA from 1 species
GGAAGUAAAAGUCGUAACAAGGUCUCCGUUGGUGAACCAGCGGAGGGAUCAUUACCGAGUUUACAACUCCCAAACCCACUGUGAACUUAUACCCAAAACGUUGCCUCGGCGGGCACAGCGGUACCCGAGCCCCCGCAAGGGAGCAGAGGCGCCCGCCCGCCAGGGGACCAAAACUCUUCUGUAUACCCAUAGCGGCAUGUCUGAGUGGAUUUAAAAACAAAUGAAUCAAAACUUUCAACAACGGAUCUCUUGGUUCUGGCAUCGAUGAAGAACGCAGCGAAAUGCGAUACGUAAUGUGAAUUGCAGAAUUCAGUGAAUCAUCGAAUCUUUGAACGCACAUUGCGCCCGCCAGUAUUCUGGCGGGCAUGCCUGUUCGAGCGUCAUUUCAACCCUCAAGCCCUGCUUGGUGUUGGGGACCGGCUCAGCGGGUGCGGGCUUCGGCCCGUCCCGUGCCGCCCCCGAAAUGGAUCGGCGGUCUCGUCGCAGCCUUCUUUGCGUAGUAACAUACCACCUCGCAACAGGAGCGCGGCGCGGCCACUGCCGUAAAACGCCCAACUUUUUAGAGUUGACCUCGAAUCAGGUAGGAAUACCCGCUGAACUUAAGCAUAUCAAUAAGCGGAGGA